UGGGGAAUUUUGGACGAAUUGGGCGCAAGCCUGAUCCAGCCAUGCCGCGUGCGGGAAGAAGGCCUUCGGGUUGUAAACCGCUUUUGUCAGGGAAGAAAUCUUCUGAGUUAAUACCUCGGGAGGAUGACGGUACCUGAAGAAUAAGCACCGGCUAACUACGUGCCAGCAGCCGCGGUAAUACGUAGGGUGCAAGCGUUAAUCGGAAUUACUGGGCGUAAAGCGUGCGCAGGCGGUUUUGUAAGACAGAGGUGAAAUCCCCGGCUCAACCUGGGAACUGCCUUUGUGACUGCAAGGCUUGAGUGCGGCAGAGGGGGAUGGAAUUCCGCGUGUAGCAGUGAAAUGCGUAGAUAUGCGGAGGAAACACCGAUGGCGAAGGCAAUCCCCUGGGCCUGCACUGACGCUCAUGCACGAAAGCGUGGGGAGCAAACAGGAUUAGAUACCCUGGUAGUCCACGCCCUAAAACGAUGUCAACUGGUUGUUGGGAAGGUUCCUUCUCAGUAACGUAGCUAACGCGUGAAGUUGACCGCCUGGGGAGUACGGCCGCAAGGUUGAAACUCAAAUGAAUUGACGGGGUCAUAGCUGUUUCCUG
rnacentral:rRNA from 1 species